GUGUGUAUCUGUGUGUCAAUGUGUAUCUGUGUGCCAGUGUGUGUGUGUAUCUGUAUGUCACAUACAUAUACACACACGCACAUAGAUACACACUGACACAGAGAUACACAC